AUGGCUUCUGCUACAAGACAAAUUGAAUACAGAGACCUACUUAACAGGAAGAAUUUCUACAUUGAGACAAGCAAAUAUGUGUUGUGCGAUGAUGAGCCUAAUGAACAUCUAAUGCACCUUUUCUUUAGCUGUGAUUUCAGCCAAAACUUCUAGAUGAACAUUGGUUAUCAAUGGAACACUGGUUAUAACCUCACAGAAAUGCUCUUGGAGGGUAAGAAGCAGAAUACCUCAGGUUAUUUCAAAGAAUGCCUAAUAGCUGGAUGUUGGAGUCUAUGGAAGCACAGGAAUAUCAUCAUAUUUGAUCACAAGACUAAGAAUAUGGCAUAUUAUCUAGCCACAUUCAAGGAACACUUCAGCAUGAUCAUAAAAAAAGCAAAACCUGGAUUGAAGGGGGGCAUGCAAAGUUGGCUGGAUUAUUUGUAG
rnacentral:rRNA from 1 species